rfam:Stereum hirsutum FP-91666 SS1 unplaced genomic scaffold STEHIscaffold_20, whole genome shotgun sequence.
CCCUCGAUAGCUCAAUUGGGAGAGCGCAAGACUGUAAUUGGAAAUCCGAAAAAAACAUCUUGAGGUCGCUAGUUCGAUCCUGGCUCGAGGGA